rnacentral:piRNA from 1 species
GUGUAGUCCUGUAACUACCUCUGUAGACC